rnacentral:rRNA from 1 species
AAAUAGGUGCUCCCGAGGAGGUCUCCCAAACAGCUCCAUAUAUACAACACGAUGAAGAAGGGGAAAAGAGGAAAACCCUAAUUUCAUUGUUAUUGCUUUAGGAAAACCUCUGUUAGCUCUUCCUCUCGCGAAAAUCCCCAAAUUACUUUGAGGAUCUCGAUUUCCCUAGCACCAAAUCACCAACAUCCUCACACCAUGUCGUGGCACGGCGUCUUGCCCGACGAAGAGGACAGGAUCGAUCUCCCCCUUUACAUCUCGCCCGCCACUCCCCCUUACAUCUCGCCCGCCACACUUCUCUUCAAGGUGAGAGCUUACGAGAUGGCGGCGCCGGAUUCGAUCUGCGUCCACCACCUGGUGGCGCGACCGGCAGGAGGGCCGGUGUAUGGGUUCCAGGAGCUAGGUCUGGCGGAAGCAGUUCUGCACAACUUGGCGAGGUGUCAGUUCGAGACCCCGAGUCCGUUGCAGUGCUACUCGAUCCCGAUGGUGCUGGCCGGCCGGGACCUGUUGGUUUGCGCGCAGAAGGGGUCCGGGAAGACGACCGCCUUACUCAUCCCGGUGUUGAGUGGGCUGGUGACGGCGCCGGUAGCAGCAGGAAGAACAGGACGUAUGAAGUGUGUUAAACCACGCGCGCUCUUGCUCGUGCCUACCGCCAGGCUUGUAAAACAGAUUGGUGCUGAUAUCAGGAAAUUCUCUUACCGAACUAGAAUAAGAGUUCAUUCAAAGAUGAAAGGGAAGAUGCAGAAAUGUCAGCUUGAAGCGGGCAUUGAUAUAGUUGUUUCUACACCCCGACGUCUUAUCAACAUGGUUAGAACCACUCAAGUCUCCCUUGAGGCAAUAAAGUAUCUGGUCAUAUGCGAGCUUGGUUUGAUGCUGGAUAUGGGGUUUGAAAAAACGUUAAGGAAGAUAGUUGAUGACAUGCAUAUUCCACCGAAAUCUGCCAGACAUACUUUACUUUCCAGCGGUACUUUCCAACCAGCAGUACAGAAACUGGCUUGGGAUUUCUUGUCAGAUUACUUAUUUAUCACCGAUGGGAGGUUGGAGUUCAGUAUUGGCCUAACUAAGCAGAAAAUUGAGCUUGCCUCUGAAGAAGAGAAAAGAGGCCUCCUGCUAAAUCUGUUACAGAAGCAAUCCGUCUCUUCUGCCGGCAUGAGCCAACUCAGAACAGUAGUUUUUGUCGAGACAAAAGGAAAGGCUGAUUCAUUGAAGAAUUGGCUAUGCAAUGAAGGUUUUCCUGCAACAGUGAUCUUUGCUGACAGUUCACAGCAGGAGAGAGAGAGCGCAUCGCUACCUUUCCAGAUUAGCGGCAUUUCUAUCCUGAUUGCUGCCAAUGCAGCCUCACCAGGCUUGGACGUUGCAAAUGUUGAUCAUUUGAUUAACUAUGAUCUUCCAAAGUCUGUUGAGGAAUAUGUUGAGAGGAUUAGAACAUUUGCGAGAGUUGGUUCUGCCACUUCCUUCUUCACUGAGUCCAACCGGUCCAUAGCAAAAGGCUUGCUGGAAUUGAUGAUUGAGGCAAAUCUAGAAGUGCCAGAUUGGCUGUUGGACUAUGCUAAUCCUGAUUAUACUAGAUCUGUGGAAUUGGACUCAGAAGAUGAGGAGAAUGAUAAGGACAGAUAUGAUUUAGCUCGGUCUCUCGCCUCACGCAAGAUUGAUAACAUAUACGAUCUGGCAUGUGUUUGGGCUGAAUUAAAUUGCAGGAGAACUAAGCAAAGCUUUGAUGAUAGUAGGAUCAAGACAAUGUCUAAAGAUUGUUGUAUUGCAUUUACACAACAAGAAGAAUACAAGUUCCUCAAGUUCUAUUUCGUCAAGGUUACUCAGCAUUGUUAUAGUCCUGAAAGUUAUGAAAAAACCUAUUGGCAUUACAAUUUCAUUGCCAAGAUUAAGAGUAAAUCAGGAAUCUGGACUGAAGGUAUCUACUUUGCUGAAAGAAAAUUAGAAUGUGAUGUGGAGACAUUUUGUUGCUCUUUCCUGGAGCCGUCAGACGAUGGUGAGUGCUAUGGUUGUCAACAUGGGGAGGCGAAGGUUCGGCAUCCAACUAGAGGUGACUAUGAGAGAGGAACACCUGAUCAUGUUUGGCUUUCCGAUGGUGACUGUGAAAUUAGUGAUGAUGAUAUGGUGGAUUUCUAAACUUGUGUAACAUUGCAUUUUCAAUUUGUGUACUGAAACACCAUACUUGUUGCGUGUGUAGGCAUUAACCUUUUACCACUUGUACUAAGGUUAAUUCAUCUCAAUGAGAGUACAAUGACAUGUUUCCAUUUUAAUUUCAAAGCCGUACAAUGGCAUGUUUAUAUGGAACUCAAGUCACUUGAAAGGG